rnacentral:rRNA from 1 species
AUUGAACGCUGGCGGCAUGCCUAACACAUGCAAGUCGAACGGCAGCACAGCAGUAGCAAUACUGUGGGUGGCGAGUGGCGGACGGGUGAGGAAUACGUCGGAAUCUGCCCAGUCGUGGGGGAUAACUAGCCGAAAGGUUAGCUAAUACCGCAUACGACCGAGAGGUGAAAGCGGGGGACCGCAAGGCCUCGCGCGAUUGGAUGAGCCGACGUCGGAUUAGCUAGUUGGCGGGUAAAGGCCCACCAAGGCGACGAUCCGUAGCUGGUCUGAGAGGAUGAUCAGCCACACUGGAACUGAGACACGGUCCAGACUCCUACGGGAGGCAGCGGUGGGGAAUAUUGGACAAUGGGCGCAAGCCUGGUCCAGCAAUGCCGCGUGUGUGAAGAAGGCCUCGGUUGUAAGCACUUUAUUCAGGAACGAAAGACGUUGGAUUAAUAACUCUGACGUGCUGACGGUACCUCGAGG